GAUGAAGAACGUAGUGAAAUGCGAUAAGUUAUGUGAAUUGCAGAAUCUCGUGAAUCAUCGAAUCUUUGAACGCACAUUGCGCCCUAUGGAAUUCUGUAGGGCAUGCCUGUCUGAGCGUCAGCAGCAAAAAAAUCAAAAUCUUUGUAGGUAAAGAUUUGGAUUUGGUUAAGAGAUGUAAUCUGUAAAGAACCGGUUACUCUUUUGAAAUUUAAAGGCAGUAUUGAUCAAUCCAACUGUAAACGUGAUAAAACAUCUCGUUUUAUUGUUAGGAAUGAGCUUUUUGCUUGCCUAUAAACCCACUCAUCUUCAUGGGUGACCUCAGAUCAGGUAGGGAUACCCGCUGAACUUAAGCAUAUCAAUAAGCGGAGGA
rnacentral:misc_RNA from 1 species